rnacentral:lncRNA from 1 species
AAGUUGUCCAUUCAUGCGAGUGGGGGGAAAGCAGUGUACUGUCAACCUGCACAAGAGACUGAGGAGUCAGAUCUGUUUGGCAGAGAGGAAUGUGUUUGGUAAAGUACAGCAGAGCUAAAGGAACCCUGGGGGAACAUGUUAACUUGUGUGUUAAGAUAUGUGCCUCUAGUGCAGUUGACAUCCACCACCACAUUAAAGCACAUACUGAAUACAGAAUAUUCAUUAAGACUUAAAUUGCAUACAGUACACAGUAAACACAAUAAUAACAGAAUGUUGAGACAGAUAGACGCAGACAUACAGUUCGUGGAGUUUUGUCUGCUGGCGUUCAUCGGCGCUUCUGUGUGGUCAUGUACACACAGGUUGAUUCGGCGUUUGUCGUGUAAUGUGAAGUGAGGUUCUGUAAUCUGCUGAUUGCGUGCGUCUGUCGGGGCAGUGCUCUUUAAACCACCGCUCGUUUUUAGUAAGCGGUCAAUAAAAACGUUAAGACAACAAAACAUAUAAAAGACGUCGAGGACAAAAAAAAAAGUUUUUUAAUAAAAAGUGAAGUUUAUCAAAUAAAUUACAACACAAAAGGUGAGGUUGACUUUAAGCGUCGCUUUGCGCUUCCGCUAAAGACUCCGGACAACAACAGCGUAACCGAGCUUAGCGAUUGGUAGAGGUCCUGCAGGUCACGCCCAUCCUUUAAAUACCAGGCGUGCGUGUCUAUUUUGACACAUGCUUUUACCAAUUCAGUGCCGGAUAGAUCACGUAGCCGCUAAUGAAGCUUUUUUAUUAUUAUUAUUGUUAUUAAAUCAAGGGACAAGCCGAAUAGAACUUAUUAAAAUGCAUCGCUUCUUCCUGCUCAUCAUAGCCUGUCUUGCCAUCGCCGGUGCUGUGAGUGACAGUGAGAGAGUGGAGGUAAAAAGUGGAAAAAGCGUCACCCUACGCGUCGAAACACCUGGGAAUGUGAGGCGAGUGACUUUAACGUUACGAAAAAACUGCGAAGACAGGACAGGAGAUCCCAUUAUCCGCUACUGUUCCCCCGGAGAGGAGAAGAAUGGCUGCCCCGCCAAGAAAUCCGACAGAUUCUCAGUCAGGUUUGACACGGAGAGUUUGUCCAUAAUCUUCGUUGAUGCCAGAGUCAGUGAUGAGGGAUGUUACGUUGUCUCGUAUUUCGACGUCGCUAACAUCUUGAAGGAGAGGUUCUUCGACGUCACGGUCCACGGAUCACUGGAAACUCCUGAAGACUUUCCUAACAAAGCCAAAGAGACUCACUGGACAAUCAGCCCAGAAUAUUUGUACAUAAUCGCAGUGGGCAUCGCAUUGUUGACUGCAUUUGUGAUUUUGGUUAUCAUUUGUGUCAUCAACUGCAUCAUCAACUGCCAAAAGAAGAAGCAAAAUAGCACAGGGGAUCCUGAGGAGAUGAUUUCUCUCAGCUCAACCAGCAGUGGAGCAAGUAAACCAACCACAGAUGAAUCCUUAGAGAUGGUGGAUGUGACAAAGUGUUCAGUGGACAAUAACAAUCAGCGUUCAAAAAAGGACCUGAACCAUGGAGCCUAAAAGGCAUGAUGACGAAAAUACAAAUACAAGACAUUGUGUGGACUCACAAGACAACAAGGGCUGAGGAUUCCAUUUAAAGACCAUUGAGACAUCUCAUGCAAGUCACCAUCAUACAGAAGCAGCAGCUCUUCUCUGAGAUGAGCAGAACCUCAGAUGCUCAACCAGAAAUACAACAGUGGUGAUUCCCAGCAGACCAGACAGAACCAGACGAACCAGAGCCUCAGUGAUGCUGCAAUGAUCCAGACAAUCUGAAAGAGAAGAGAGUUGUUCAUAAACAUGUGAUUGAAUGUCUUUGUCUGUGAAGACACAGCACAGAGGUCAUUACAACAGGAAGAGAGUUCUGUUUUAAAUGUAGUUUGAUUUCUCAUACCUUCAUGUCGUGGGCAGAUCUCUUUCAUGUGAUAAUAUAAUUAUUAAUCGGUUUACACUGAUGGACAGUUUUAUUACUCACUGGAUUCACAGCCGUGCAGCUGUAGAUCUCUGGAUCAUUAUAAUGAAGCUAAACUGAGGUUGAUGUUGAGAUCAGGAUUGCUGGUCUGGUUCAACAUUUCACCUCGUUUAUACCACGAGAUAAACACGCCUCGAUCAUUUUUCACAGAACACAACACAGAGCAGAACUUCUCCAUCUUCUGUGGCUGCUUUGAUGAACCUAGUGGACAUCUGUUGUGUCAGGUUAAUUCUGAACCGUUUGAGAGAACCUUUUUUCUUCAUAUCAAGAAGUUCAAGAAAUCAACAGAUAUGUCCGUGAUUGGCUACACUGCUCAACACUGCAAAAAACUCUCUGCAAGCAGCUCUCCAGAGCACAAACACGAAUACGCAUUAGAGUUUCGUUUCAUUUUGUUGUUUAUGUUUAGUUUAUUAUUUUAUGUUGUAGUUUGAUUGUUUUCCUGCCUGUGCUUUGAUUUGUUUGUUUUAAUGUUGAUAGUUUACUGUCAGCUUCUUUUCUUUGUAGAUAUCUUAUAAAUGAUUAUAAACAUCUUACUCACAUUGGAAACUGUUGGUGGUGGUUUCUUGUUCCUUUUUUUUAUUUAUUAUUAUUUUAAGACGAGGCUGUGUAAUGUUAGUUUGUUAUAUUGGUCUUUGCUCAUUCCUCAGUAAAUGAACGUGUAGAAAGAGCUUUGUUGUCUGUUCCAGGUUAUUUUGCUGCCUCACUCUAGCCAGUGUCAUAACAUUGUGAAGCAGAUGAUAUAAUAAUUUUGACCCUACUAUCUGAAUGGUGCAGCAGAAAUUGAGACUCAUCAGACCAGGCA